rnacentral:tRNA from 1 species
UGGCUCAGUUGGUAGAGCAUGGUGUUUGCAAUGCCAGGGUUGUGGGUUUGUUUCCCAU